UCGCUGACCUUCAAGGUCGUGCACGCCCCGAGCGCUCUCUCACACAUAAUAACACGCUAGGUGCAUCACCGCGUGGGUCCUUCUCACGGAGGGCUCGCGUCAUUCACAUAAAACUCGAUACCGUAUAGAAUGUUUUCUUUUUCGUUUGCAGUCACAUGCAAUCACUCCCACUUUCAACAACGGAUCUCUUGGCUCUCGCAUCGAUGAAGAACGCAGCGAAAUGCGAUACGUAAUGUGAAUUGCAGAAUUCAGUGAAUCAUCGAAUCUUUGAACGCACCUUGCGCCCCUUGGCAUUCCGAGGGGCACACCCGUUUGAGUGUCGUGAAAUCAUCAAAACCCUUUUCUUUUGGAAAGGGAUUUUGGACUUGGAGGUUCGAUGCUCGCUUUCACUUUUGAAAGCGAGCUCCCUCUCAAAUAAAUCAGUGGGGCUUGCUUUGCCGAUCCUCGACGUGAUAAGAUGUUUCUAC
rnacentral:rRNA from 1 species